rnacentral:snRNA from 1 species
GUGCUUGCUUCGGCAGCACAUAUACUAAAAUUGGAACGAUACAGAGAAGAUUAGCAUGGCCCCUGCACAAGGAUGACACGCAAAUUCAUGAAGCAUUCCAUAUUUUC